CUCCUGACAGGUCACUGAUUUCUUAAUUGGCAGCUUGUGACUCAUAGCUAAAGAAGGGAAGAAAAGCUCUAUGAUCCUGCAAUGUCCUAAUUGCCAAUUGAGUUUCUCUCAGAGGGCAUGCUCUGUGUAUUUUGAAAACCUCAUACUGCCACCUGCAAUUUCAUGAUCACCCAGGAAACUUUCAGAUAUCUUCAAAGAUGUUACUUUCCUAGAAGCAGCAAUGCCUCUGGCUCAAAGACAAUGCAUUUGGGUACAACUGGCUGCCUGCAGGGUGAACCUCACCCUUCAGGCCUCGUCACAGCAGAGGAGUGGCUCAGGCACCAGGGCCCAGGCGCCGGGCACACCUGCUACAUUCCUCCAACUGUG
rnacentral:lncRNA from 10 species